rnacentral:tRNA from 1 species
GGAUUGUGGCUCAGUGGUAGAGCACUUGCCUGGCAUGUGUGAGGCACUGGGUUCAAUCCUCAGCACCA